CCGUCCAACGGCCAAACGAUGCAGCUGAGGAAGAUGAACAAAAUUUCGACCACGAAGUUGUUGAUUGUCGUUAGAUCUGUCGGUCAGUGAUCGCUGAUCUCCUGUCACUUCCUAGCCAGAAGCCAACAUCAGUUUCUUAAGAAUAAUUUUGGGUUCGACUAGUGGACCCGGAUCUGAUGAGAUACAUUGAUGAUAAAAUGGCCAACUUCUAUAGAUCUUCAAGAAGAUUCACCUCUAGUAGGAGCAUCACAAACACCAGUGUCAACACUAUUGAAGAAAGCUUCGGAGAAUAUGAAUUCACCAAAUGUAAUGAAUAUUUCAAAGCACCAAAAAAAGGUCAUUUGUGAUGAAUAUGAAGUUGAAACUGGUAAUGGAAGAACUAUUAAACGGAAAACAAGAAGCACAGUCAUGUUUGAGAUCCAAGAUAAAUAAGACGACGAGUGCACACCAAAAGUCAAAAGCCCCCGGAGUGUAGUCAUGGAUGUUAUUGGCGCAAGGACAGUGAUUGCAGGAGAUAGCGAAGAAUUGGAUCUCAUUGAAGGUUGAUAGAGAAGUUUAAUAUAGUUUGUUUGUAUUUUAUAGCUUUUAUGAAUGUAUAUCAUUCUUGUAAGUUGC